rnacentral:lncRNA from 1 species
CUUACUGGCUGAUUAGAACCCCAGAAAGCCACAGGGGCAGAGAGAUAGCAAGUUUAGUCUGUUGCCUGUGCGUAGAGAACCACACAUAGCUUGCUGGUUGGAGGGAACAAAGCGAGGAGUUUCGGUUUGUUUUCUGGGUAGUUUUCUCUGUGGUUAGAUAUUACAGGAGAAAUGAAGAUGUGCAAAACUAUACUUCCUUGUAUUCUAUUACUGUCAGGUUUAGUAGUCAUGAUGGGAGCGGCAAAGAACAUCACGGAGACGACCGUCUCAGACAUGGUGGGGAAGACGGUGGCAACUGUAACGGAGGCGACUGUCUCAGACAAGAUGGGAGAGAUAGUGGGGCCCGUCACGAAGGCGACCAUCCCAGGUACCCCACGGAAGACUGUGGCGCCCACCACAAAGGCAACCGUCAUGGAGGCGGCAGGGGAGACAAUGGCACCCAUCAUGGAGACGACCAUCCCAGACACGUCAGGGAAGAUGGUGACGCCUGUCACAGAAGCAACCAUCACAGUGGUGACGGGAGAGACAGUGGCGCCCAUCACAGAGACGACCAUCCCAGACACGUCAGGGAAGAUGGUGACGCCUGUCACGGGGGCAACCAUCACGGAGGCGGCAGGAGAGACGGUGGCGACCAUCCUAGACAAGCUAGGGAAGACAGUGGCGCCAGUCACAAAGGCGACUGUCUCAGGCAUGCCAGGGAAGAUGGUGGCACCUGUCACAGAAACAACCGUCGUAGAGGUGACGGGAGAGACAGUGGCGCCCGUCACAGAGACGACCAUCCCAGACACGUCAGGGAAGAUGGUGACGCCUGUCACGGAGGCAACCAUCACGGCGGCGGCAGGAGAGACGGUGGCAACCAUCCUAGACAAGCUAGGGAAGACAGUGGCGCCAGUCACAAAGGCAACCAUCCCAGUCAUGACAACGACCAUAGUGCUUGGACAUAAAGAAAUCUCAACUUCAGGGCUGCCAUCAGUAAAAAGCUUCUCAAGUUCUACAAUGAAAAUAAGUAGAGAAUCAACUCUGUUUUUCAAGUCUACUGCUAAACAACUAACUUUGGAGGACAAUAUGUUAGUCAAAUCAAACUCGAACAACCCGACUUCUGGGCCAGGUCUGUUUUUUUUAAUUCAGUAUUUCCUUACAAUGUUGAAUCCAUUCUCCCCUCCCUGUGCACAUACUAGUCCUGUAAAGUCACUAUUUUCUGCUCUCCCUGCCACUCCUCCAGUGAUAGACUCUUGCCGAUUUCCCCCUCAAAGCAGAUUUUGCCCUCAAAGUCACAUUGCUUAG